UACGGAGGGUGCGAGCGUUGCUCGGAAUUACUGGGCGUAAAGCGUACGCAGGCUGUCUCAUAAGACGGGUGUGAAAGCCCGGGGCUCAACCCCGGAAUUGCGCCCGUGACUGUGAGGCUUGAAUGCGGGAGAGGGAAGCGGAAUUCCUGGUGUAGAGGUGAAAUUCGUAGAUAUCAGGAGGAACACCGGUGGCGAAAGCGGCUUCCUGGCCCGACAUUGACGCUCAUGUACGAGAGCGUGGGGAGCAAACAGG
rnacentral:rRNA from 1 species